rnacentral:lncRNA from 1 species
AAAAAUGGUGUCAACAGCUUGGCGACUCCACUGGGGACUUUAAAUAAGAGAGUCAAGCCACGAGUUGAUUGCUUUUUGUCUUUGUGUCAAAAAUUGAAAACUUGAUUUAAAGAUACGGUCCUUUUAUUACAUUUCAUUUGCCUUUAUUUUGGCUUUUAUUAUUUGUUUAUAAUUACUGCUUUGUUUAGAGUUUAGGUGUAUAUUUCUGCACAUUCCAUUGCAUGACCGUUGGUCACACCUUUUAAGUGGGAGUGAGAAACUACGCCUUCGUGAGGUUUUCACCUCCGCAUGGGAUAGUGAAUCGCUUCCGGGAUACAUCCGUACCUAUGUCUUCGUAAGAUUUUCAUCUCCGCAUGGCCAUAGAGAAAUGUAUCCCCCUGAACCGAACUCGGUCCGCAUGAGCCUAUAAUGGGUGAGGAUCGAGGAAUCUGCUGGUUCGGGCACCCUUACUUUAGAACCAAACCUCAUGUAGUGAACCUUAGGAGCCCACCCUAGGUAGAACCACUUCGAACCCCUAGUAUUCACCCAAAUAGGUGUUCUAUUUAUUCUUGCUUGCUUUUGCUUUGUACUAACCUGUUUUCUUUUUGUUAUGAUUGCAUUGCAUUUUCAUCAUAAAAAGAGGUGUUGAUUCACGUUCAGUUGUUAAAUAGAGAGCUUGUCAUAAGGAAAUGGGUUUCUUGAUAAAGUGGAUAAUA